rnacentral:rRNA from 1 species
CGGAGGGUGAGUAUGUCUGGGAACUGCCCGAUGGGAGGGGAUAACUACUGGAAACGGUAGCUAAUACCGCAUAACGUCGCAAGACCAAAGAGGGGGACCUUCGGGCCUCUUGCCAUCGGAUGUGCCCAGAUGGGAUUAGCUAGUAGGUGAGGUAACGGCUUACCUAGGCGACGAUCCCUAGCUGGUCUGAGAGGAUGAUCAGCCACACUGGGACUGAGACACGGCCCAG